rnacentral:rRNA from 1 species
AACGAACGCUGGCGGCAGGCUUAACACAUGCAAGUCGAACGCCCCGCCAGGGGAGUGGCAGACGGGUGAGUAACGCGUGGGAACAUACCCUUUUCUACGGAAUAGCUCUGGGAAACUGGAAUUAAUACCGUAUACGCCCUACGGGGGAAAGAUUUAUCGGGGAAGGAUUGGCCCGCGUUGGAUUAGCUAGUUGGUGGGGUAAAGGCCUACCAAGGCGACGAUCCAUAGCUGGUCUGAGAGGAUGAUCAGCCACAUUGGGACUGAGACACGGCCCAAACUCCUACGGGAGGCAGCAGUGGGGAAUAUUGGACAAUGGGCGCAAGCCUGAUCAAGCCAUGCCGGGUGAGUGAUGAAGGCCUUAGGGUUGUAAAGCUCUUUCACAGAUGAAGAUAAUGACGGUAGUCGGAGAAGAAGCACCGGCUAACUUCGUG